GACGAACGCUGGCGGCGUGCUUAACACAUGCAAGUCGAACGGAAAGGCCCUGCUUGCAGGGUACUCUAGUGGCGAACGGGUGAGUAACACGUGUGUGUUCUGCCCUGCACUUCGUGAUAAGCCUGGGGAACUGUGUCUAAUACCGGAGAUGGGCCAUUUUUAGGGUGAUGGUUGGAAGGUUUUUUCGGUGGAGGAUGAGAGGGCGGCCUAUCAGCUUGUUUGUGGGGUAAUUGCCUACCAAGGCAGCGACGGGUAGCCGGGCGGCGUGGGUGGGCGGCCACAUUGGGACUGAGAUAAGGCCCAGACUCCCACGGGGGGGAGGCGUGGGGAAUAUUGCAAAAAGGGGGCAAGGCUGAUGCAGACACGCCGCGUGGGGGAUGAAGGCCUUCGGGUUGUAAACCCCUUUCGCUAGGUACGAAGCUUUUUGUGACGGUACCUAGAUAAGAAGCACCGGCUAACUACGUG
rnacentral:rRNA from 1 species